GACAGAGGUGCCGAGCGUUAGGCGGAAUCACUGGGCUUAAAGCGUGUGUAGGCGGAUCGUUAAGUACCUUGUGAAAUCCCACGGCUUAACCGUGGAACUGCUGGGUAUACUGGCGAUCUUGAGCCACCUAGGGGCAACCGGAACAAAUGGUGGAGCGGUGAAAUGCGUAGAUAUCAUUUGGAACGCCAAUGGUGAAAACAGGUUGCUGGGGUGUGCUGACGCUGAGACACGAAAGCCAGGGAGCGAACGGG
rnacentral:rRNA from 1 species